GAUGAACGCUGGCGGCGUGCUUAACACAUGCAAGUCGAACGGAGAAAGGGUAGCUUGCUAUCUUUUCUUAGUGGCGGACGGGUGAGUAACGCGUGGGUAACCUGCCCUUUGCAGGGGGAUAACAGUGAGAAAUCACUGCUAAUACCGCAUACCAACUUCUUUCGCAUGAAAGAAGUUUGAAAGAUUUAUCGGCAAAGGAUGGACCCGCGUUGGAUUAGCUAGUUGGUGAGAUAACAGCCCACCAAGGCAACGAUCCAUAGCCGGCCUGAGAGGGUGAACGGCCACACUGGGACUGAGACACGGCCCAGACUCCUACGGGAGGCAGCAGUGGGGAAUAUUGCACAAUGGGCGAAAGCCUGAUGCAGCGACGCCGCGUGAAGGAUGAAGGUCUUCGGAUUGUAAACUUCUAUCAGCAGGGAAGAAAGGGCUUAUAGCCUAUGACGGUACCUGACUAAGAAGCCCCGGCUAACUACGUGCCAGCAGCCGCGGUAAACAUACUCG
rnacentral:rRNA from 1 species